rnacentral:rRNA from 1 species
UACAGAGGUCUCAAGCGUUGUUCGGAUUCAUUGGGCGUAAAGGGUGUGUAGGUGGCGCCGUAAGUCGGGUGUGAAAUUUCGGAGCUUAACUCCGAAACUGCAUUCGAUACUGCGGUGCUUGAGGACUGGAGAGGAGACUGGAAUUCAUGGUGUAGCAGUGAAAUGCGUAGAGAUCAUGAGGAAGACCAGUGGCGAAGGUGGGUCUCUGGACAGUUCCUGACGCUGAGGCACGAAGGUCAGGGGAGCAAACGGG